AUGACCAAUACUCACAAAACACAUUGCUAAUAAAAUUAUUAACUACUAAUUCAUUGAUCUUUCCACACCAUCUAACAUUUCUACAUGAUGAAACUUUGGAUCACUUCUUGGUGGCUGCCUAAUUCUCCAGAUCCUCACAGGAUUAUUCUUGGCCCUGCACUAUACUUCAGACACCUCAACUGCAUUUCCUUCAGUUGCUCAUAUCAGCCAAGAUGUAAACUGCAGUUGAAUGGUUUGUUAUUUUCAGGACAAUGGCCCUUCAAUAUUUUUCAUCUGCUUCUUCUUAUGUGUUGACCAAGGCUUAUAUUACAAAUCAUUUCUAUUCCUGGAAACCUGAAAUAUUGGCAUUAUCCUCCUAUUCACAACUAUAGCAUCAGCAUUCAUAGGCUACAUGCUCCCAUGGGACAAAUAUCAUUUUGAGGCACUACAGUAAUUACAAAUCUGCUAUCAGCCAUACAAUAUAUUGGAACUGACCUGGUACAAUGAAUCUGAGGCAGAUUCUCAGUGAACAAGGCCACCCUCAAACAACUAUUCAGAUUCAAUUUCAUCUUACUUUUCAACCCUACAGCUCUAGCAACGAUUCACCUUUUAUUCUUGCAUGAGAGAGGAUUUUUAGGAGUUUCAUCAGACCCAGACAAAAUCAUGCUCCACCCCUACUAUAAAACCAAAGAUAUCUAGGUUUAAUUUUUCUUCUCCUUCUAAUAACUCUAGUACUGUUUUCACCAGACCUCCUUAACAACCCAGAUAAUUAGAGUUUAGCCAACCCCCUCAAUACUCCACCCCACAUUAACCAAUACCUUUUUUUGGUGUACCCAAUCUUACUACCUAUCCCUAACAACCUAGGAAGUGUACUGGCCCUCAUAUCAUCCACUCUCAUUCUAGCAGUUAAGCAGUUAUUUCUGUACUUCACAAGUCUAAGCAACAAGGCAUCAUAUGCCAGCCAUUAAAUCAAUGCAUAUUCUGAAUCCUAGUGGCUGUUCUGUUUACAUUCACAUGAAUCGGAGGGAAGCCAUCAAAUACCCUUUUAUUGACAUCAGACAGACAGCAUCUAUCAUGUACUUCUCUACCAUCCUCACCCUUAUGCUGCUCACUACCCUAAUUGAAAAUAAAUUAUUUAAA
rnacentral:lncRNA from 1 species